rnacentral:rRNA from 1 species
GACAGAGGGGGCAAGCGUUGCUCGGAAUCACUGGGCGUAAAGGGCGCGUAGGCGGGAUGGCAAAUCAGUCGUGAAAUCUCUCGGCUCAACCGAGAAACGUCGGCUGAUACUGCCGUUCUUGAGGGAUGCAGAGGAGACUGGAAUUCCCGGUGUAGCGGUGAAAUGUGUAGAGAUCGGGAGGAACACCGGUGGCGAAGGCGGGUCUCUGGGCAUCUCCUGACGCUGAGGCGCGAAAGCGUGGGGAGCAAACGGG